rnacentral:rRNA from 1 species
CCAAGUUUGACCUCAAAUCAGGUAGGAAUACCCGCUGAACUUAAGCAUAUCAAUAAGCGGAGGAAAAGAAACCAACCGGGAUUGCCUUAGUAACGGCGAGUGAAGCGGCAAAAGCUCAAAUUUGAAAUCUGGCGUCUUCGACGUCCGAGUUGUAAUUUGAAGAAGGCAACUUUGUAGCUGGUCCUUGUCUAUGUUCCUUGGAACAGGACGUCAUAGAGGGUGAGAAUCCCGUGUGGCGAGGAUCCCAGUUAUUUGUAAAGUGCUUUCGACGAGUCGAGUUGUUUGGGAAUGCAGCUCUAAGUGGGUGGUAAAUUCCAUCUAAAGCUAAAUAUUGGCGAGAGACCGAUAGCGAACAAGUACAGUGAUGGAAAGAUGAAAAGAACUUUGAAAAGAGAGUGAAAAAGUACGUGAAAUUGUUGAAAGGGAAGGGCAUUUGAUCAGACAUGGCGUUUGCUUCGGCUUUCGCUGGGCCAGCAUCAGUUUUAGCGGUUGGAUAAAUCCUCGGGAAUGUGGCUCUGCUUCGGUAGAGUGUUAUAGCCCGUGGGAAUACAGCCAGCUGGGACUGAGGAUUGCGACUUUUGUCAAGGAUGCUGGCGUAAUGGUUAAAUGCCGUGGG